rnacentral:rRNA from 1 species
UACGUAGGUGACCAGCGUUGUCCGGAUUUACUGGGCGUAAAGAGCGCGCAGGCGGUCGUUCAAGUCGAGUGUGAAAGCCCCCGGCUCAACUGGGGAGGGUCACUCGAUACUGAUCGACUUGAAGGCAGGAGAGGGAAGCGGAAUUCCCGGUGUAGUGGUGAAAUGCGUAGAGAUGUGGAGGAACACCGGUGGCGAAGGCGGCGAGCUGGUCCAUUACUGACGCUGAGGCGCGACAGCGUGGGGAGCAAACAGG